GGAGGAAAAGAAACUAACAAGGAUUCCCCUAGUAACUGCGAGUGAAGCGGGAAAAGCUCAAAUUUGAAAUCUGGCAGUCCUUGACUGUCCGAGUUGUAAUCUAGAGAAGUGUUACCUGUGCUGGACCAUGUACAAGUCUCCUGGAAUGGAGCAUCACAGAGGGUGAGAAUCCCGUCUUUGACAUGGACUACCUGUACAUUAUGGUGCGCUCUCAAAGAGUCGAGUUGUUUGGGAAUGCAGCUCAAAAUGGGUGGUAAAUGCCAUCUAAAGCUAAAUAUUGGCGAGAGACCGAUAGCGAACAAGUACCGUGAGGGAAAGAUGAAAAGAACUUUGGAAAGAGAGUUAAACAGUACGUGAAAUUGCUGAAAGGGAAACGCUUGAAGUCAGUCGCGUUGGCUAGAAAUCAGCCUUGCUUUUGCUUGGUGUACUUUCUGGUUGAUGGGUCAGCAUCAAUUUUGACCAUUGGAUAAAGUCUUUGGGAAUGUGGCAUCCUUUUGGAUGUGUUAUAGCCCAUUGUUGCAUACGGUGGUUGGGAUUGAGGAACUCAGCACGCCGCAAGGCCGGGUCUUUUGACCACGUUCGUGCUUAGGAUGCUGGCAUAAUGGCUUUAAUCGACCCGUCUUGAAACACGGACCAAGGAGUCUAACAUGCCUGCGAGUGUUUGGGUGGAAAACCCAUGCGCGCAAUGAAAGUGAAAGUUGAGAUCCUCCUUCAAAGGGGGGAGCAUUGACGCCCGGACCAGACCUUCUGUGACGGAUCCGCGGUAGAGCAUGUAUGUUGGGACCCGAAAGAUGGUGAACUAUGCCUGAAUAGGGUGAAGCCAGAGGAAACUCUGGUGGAGGCUCGUAGCGAUUCUGACGUGCAAAUCGAUCGUCAAAUUUGGGUAUAGGGGCGAAAGACUAAUCGAACCAUCU
rnacentral:rRNA from 1 species